AUUGAACGCUGGCGGCAUGCCUUACACAUGCAAGUCGAACGGCAGCGCGGACUUCGGUCUGGCGGCGAGUGGCGAACGGGUGAGUAAUACAUCGGAACGUACCCUGUUGUGGGGGAUAACUAGUCGAAAGAUUAGCUAAUACCGCAUACGACCUGAUGGUGAAAGUGGGGGACCGCAAGGCCUCACGCAGCAGGAGCGGCCGAUGUCUGAUUAGCUAGUUGGUGGGGUAAAGGCCCACCAAGGCGACGAUCAGUAGCUAGUCUGAGAGGACGAUCAGCCACACUGGGACUGAGACACGGCCCAGACUCCUACGGGAGGCAGCAGUGGGGAAUGUUGGACAAUGGGGGCAAACAUGACCCAGCAAUGCCGCGUGUGUGGAGACGGCCUUCGGGUUGUAAAGCACUUUUGUCCGGAAAGAAAUCGCGCUGGUUAAUACCUGGCGUGGAUGACGGUACCGGAAGAAUAAGCACCGGCUAACUACGUG
rnacentral:rRNA from 1 species